rnacentral:rRNA from 1 species
GAACCCGGCCCCUACUAGGGCAUCUUCACGUCCGGCAACUCAGUGAUAUAGAAGUGGUACCACAGCUACUUUUAAAAGUGGAGGUGUUUCUUAGUUUGGUUGUUUUUCUUCCAACUGUGUCGUUGUAUUUGAGUUGUUUUUGAGAGAUUGCGGUACCGUGACGGUUUUCUUCUUCUUUUAAAUAAGAGUGUUUUGACACUACUAGUGUUUCAUAACUGGUUCUUAUAUUUCCAGCAUCUCUAGGCUCCAGUGUGGUGGAAGUUUUUUUUCUUUUUCUUAAUAGUACACCCAUUUUUUAACUCCCUUCCACACUCUCCGACUCAGCCAGAGAGACCGGAAUUUAGACCACCACUCUAUUUUUAGGCAAGAAACAGGGCACGGAAGGGCUAGGCUAACCUCAGAGACGAGACGAGACCUCAACUAGUUACCGCCUAUCUAUGGCUCGUCCUCGUCCCCGUCCCCUCCCCUUCGUCUACCUCCUAGCCCGGUUCUCCCGCCACCUCACCCGUCGGCGGCUCUCCUCGCGGUUCUUCGGGACGACGGUGGCGUUGGGUUCGCCGCCGCCGCCGCCGCCGCACGGCCUCUAGAGGAGGGAGGAGAGGAGCGAGAGGCAGCGGUUCGCGGCGAGGGGCCGGCGGGUGCUGGUGCUGGUGCGGGGGGAGCCGUUCGCCGGGGCAAUGCUGGUGGUGGUACUGGAGCUGCGGGCCUACGCUCCAUGAUGGGUGGUGCUUUGGGGCUAGGCUAAGGCUAGUCAGCGGCGCCGUAGUGGGGUACCGAGACGUAGACGACGACGACGACGUCCUGACCUCUAGUCGACGCUGUGCUGCCUUCGGUAGCUCCUCGUCCUCCUCCUUCCCGGCCUGACCCGCCCGAAGGACGGCCUCGACGACCCGGAGCAGACGCCGGCCGAGGGAGAGCGGCUGCACGGGGCCAAGCCGCGGCAGACGUCCUCGACCGCCAGCACGCGCAAGGGCCACAUGGGCCGGCUGCGGCGCGGGCACGACGAGUCGCGGUGCGAGUGGCGGCGGCCGCGGCAGGCGACGAUGUCGGGGGUGGACGUGUCCUGGAAGGAGGAGCGGCGCGGAGGGGACGGGGUUCCGCCGUCCGAGAAGAGGCGCCCGCGGCCGCCCACCCAGUACGAGUCGUGCGGGUCGUGGUGGCAGCACGAGCGGUUGGAGGACCUGCCCAGGCACGUGCUCUGCGGGUUCGCCCUCCUGCCGCUGGUCCCCAAGUACACGAGGCGCGGCGCGGUGGUGCCGGUGCUGUUACCGGCGUUGUUGUUGUUGUUGUUGUUGUUGUUGUUACCGACGACGAAACUGCACAAGCGGCAGGCGCGGAAGAACCCGUGGUAGUCCCAGCUCUCGACCCCGCCGCGGCCGUCGCAGACCUUCUCGCACCUCCUCGUCUCGAGGAAGUCUUACAGGACGACGACGUCGGGCCACUACGUGUUCCCCUACGAGAUGACGGAACCUGUCCUCCCGCGAGAUCCCCAGAUGCUAGGGCCGGUCCGCUGCACCUCACGCGAGGGUUUCGGGCGGCCGAAACGGGGCCUCGAGCGGAUGUUCUUGACGGUGGAGCAGCCGAGCGCCAGCCUCGACGAGCGGCACGACUGCCCGUCGUUGCCUCGAGGCGGGUAGAUGCACGACUCCGAGCUGCUCCGGUUCUACCGUACCUUCUCCCAGUUCAGUAACCUGCCGGCGAGGGAAAAGUGCCCCUGCUGGAGCAGCCACCGCCACCGUUUCGGCCAACGGCUUAGGUACCGGCUGUUCCACAUGGAAGGGUCCGAGAUACCGGCCGGCGUCCACUAGGUCCGCCUCGAGCGGCGGAGCCUACCGGCGGAGAAGAAGCAACAUUUUCGGUUCCGCCGUAUCGUCCUCGUUGUCCCUAGCCAAUGCCGCAGCCCGCCGGGGACCACGAUGCUGUACCUCAGCCUGAGGCCGCCCGUUAAGGACCCGAGGUUCUGGGACGACGUCAGGAAAACCCAAGUAGAGCCGGUGCGGCUCGGCGGGAGCGGGAGCAGGAGCGGCCUACUACUACUACUACUACUACUACUACUGCUACUGCUGCUGCUGCUGCUGCUGCUACCUUACCAAUAUCUGACUGGCCGUAGGUAGGUACUUUGACCAGAACGGUACAUGUCAUCUUAUUCUAACAUAAUAUGAAUAGGAACUUUAUUUUUUCUUUAUCAUCUAACAUAAUAUUAAUAAUGUAUAUACUACUACUAUAAUUCUUAAAAACUUGAUCUAAGUAAGAUGAAUGAUCUCGUACAGAUCCUACUGCCCUCAACAAGAUUGUUCAUUAGAAUAACAACGUUAUACUUACCUCUUAACUUGAUUAGAUACUACUACUACUACUACUACUACUACUACUACUACUACUACUACUACUACUACUACUACAACAACAACAACAACUACUUAACAGCAGCAACAGCAGCAGCAGCUUCGCCUCCACCUCGCCCUGCGGCCCCCACCCGAGCUGCUGGAAACGCAGCCCCUCGCGCACCCGCUCGUACCGGGACUUCCGGACCUACCACGGGGCCCACCUCUGCUCCCGCCGCUCCUAGGGGAACCGCAGCUUGAGCGGCAACGAGUACCCGUGCUGCAUCGGCCCCGCCUCGUCGGACCGCUCGAGGUGCCGCAGGAGGACGGGCCUCUGCUCCCACUUCAGCCGGCCCUCCUCGACGAACUGCUGCCCGCACUACUCGUGCAGCCGCGCGCGGCGGGACGGGGCGUCCUUGGGCCGCAGCAUGUGCGUCACGCCGAGCAUCAUCUGCGACCACGAAGACGGGGGCCGCCGCCGCCGCCGCCGCCACUGCUACAUCGGCAAGAGCCCCGCGACGGUGCCGCCCGGCUCGUGCCCCGGCCGCCACCGCUCGUGCCACUGACGCCGCCGCCGCCGCCACCUGACCGGCCCGAGCUCCAUCCACUGCACCCGCUUCCCCUCCCGCCUCUCCUACCCCGCGCGCAACCCGCACCGCUGCUGCCCCUCCGGGCCCGCCUGCCGCCGCUCGACCCACUCCCACGCCUCCACCGUCACCAGCAGCUCCGAGACCCACUACUCGUCGUCCAGCUGCGGCCGCUCCUCCGGCCGCAGACCGACCCUCAACCCCAACCCCUCCCAGAAGAACCGCCGCAGCUUCUCGGUACCCUACGGCUUCAGCUCCAACGGCUGCUCCUACCCCAGCUGCUCCUGCGCCUUCGGCGGCCCGUCGAGGGUGUCGGUCGGCAACUUGAGCUCCAUCCACUCGAAGUGGCGGCGGCCUCUGCACCACCACCUCAGCAGCGGCGGCGGCGGCGGCGGCGACGACGACGAACACUAAGACGACCACCGCGCCACCCGGCCGCCACCGGCCGCCACUCUAUUGGUGGCAGCAACCCUCUGCUACCUCCCUCCCUCCUCCAACCCCUCCUCCGGCCCGUACCCGUACCGGUACCGACGAGAGAGAGACCUAGGUGAAACCAACCAACCACGUCGGUUCCGGUGAACACGCGGGAGGUUGACGAGUAAAGAAAGAAAGAAAGAAAGAAAGAAA